UGCCAUCGCAAUGACGCAACACACAUCAAGGGGACAGCUUGCAGAGUGAACACAAAAAACUGGGACAUUACUGCAGGCUACGCCUCAUACAACACCCUCGCAGCCUGCCACAUUCCCGCUGGCCCUCUAAUGAACGGAAACCCAGGGCGGAUCUGUCACCAGAACACUGUCCUGUGCAGCCUGGAAAUGGUGGAGCCAAGCAGCCUACACACAGUCUGUCACACAGGGGAGGAGAGCAGAAGAAAUCUAAACAUAUGCAGCUGUGAUGUUGAGAAUGUAGUUCGGCUGGACCCACAGAAUGAAAGCCUGAUGUCUUUUAUGC